UCUUGAUUUCAGCUCAGGUCAUGAUCUCUGGGUUGUGAGAUCAAGCCCCAAGUCGGGCCCCUGCACUGACCAUGGAGCCUGCUUGGGAUUCUCUCUCCCUCUCCCUUUGCCCCCCCAAACCCAAAUCCCCAAUUUCAAAUGUUGGCUCAAAAAUAAUUUUUUCCUUUAAUUAUCAUGGCUGCUCAAAUAGCUUUCAAGCGUAUGCAGGCCAAACACUGUCAGAGGUAGGGAGAUAGAAGAGGAGUAAGUAAAGGGCCUCCUUGCCUCUUUUGAGUGCCCAAAGCAACUGCUUGUCUAUUUCUUUGACUCCAGCAGGUGACACGUUUGUCUUACAUCAGAUUGUGGCCCUACCUGGGCCAGGACCUUUUUCUUUUUACUUUUGUCUCCCCCUAGCCUGGUGCAUAAUGAAUGCUGUGGAGUGAACAAGUGGGUUAAACACUCCAGUCUGGCUUCUAGAGUGGCCGGAGUCUCUGCUUAGGGACAGGGAAUUGUCAGGCAAAGUGCAGGGCAGAAGCAGCAACCCAUCCUUAAUGGCCAAGUGCCUGCCCAUGGCCUGGACCAGCCGACACCCUCCUCUGCCCCAUGGACCCAGCCCAGCAGCCAGGGUCACACGUUUAUCUUUUUUUUUUUUUUCCUGUCUGGUGUCUGUCUCUCCACCAGAAUGAAUGCUCCUUGAAAGCUGGCGCACGCCCUGCUUUGAUCACUGUGAUACCUCUAGUACUUAGAAUGGGGCCUGGCAUGGAACAGCGGCUCAAUCAAUAUUUGGAAGAUGAAACUUGAAAAGGGAGAGAGACAGACAGACAGACAGAAAAGAGGCUGAACCGCGCUGAGAAGCUGGGGGAAGAGCAUGCUCUUGCCCGCCAGGAAGGGACAGAGCCGAAGAUGGAAACAGUGAAACACAGUCUCCCCGAGAUCCCCAGAGAUGGGUUACAGGUGCGGCUGUGGCCAAGACAGCAGCAGGGCCUGCCCCCAAGAGAAACCGGGCGGGCAGCAGAACUUCGAGAUGCGCAGACAUGAAGGGAUGCUGACGUAGAGACGGGCCAUGCGUCGCACGACAUCCUUAAAGUACAUCGCCUCGUCUUCUGAUUGCGAGCACUCCUGCGAGGCGGGCACAGUCAUCGCCUGGUUUUACAAAUGAAGACGCUGAGGCACGGAGGGGUUAGGUGACUUGCACAAGCUCCCGCAGGUGGGAAGUGGCAGGGCUGGGACUCUGAGGUACCGGGCACCACGAGCUCUGCCCCCGUAGUGGAGCUGAGGGCUCCCAGGGGGCCACAGCUGGAGAGAACCGCACCACCCGGAGGUGAGGCUACCUCCUCAGCACAGCGGAAGCACGGCUUUGCUAGAGCAAAAGAUGUCAGUAACGCAGCAACUAAAAAUAAAGUACGGGAAAAAACGUG